rnacentral:rRNA from 1 species
AGAGUGAACGCUGGCGGCAGGCCUAACACAUGCAAGUCGAACGGCAGCACAAGGGAGCUUGCUCCCUGGGUGGCGAGUGGCGGACGGGUGAGGAAUACGUCGGAAUCUGCCUAGUUUGUGGGGGAUAACGUAGGGAAACUUACGCUAAUACCGCAUACCGACCCCAUGCCGAGAGGCGGCGGGGUAGAAAGCGGAGGUACCGUUCGGGCUUCGCGCAGAUAGAUGACGCCGACGUCGGUAUUGGCGUUGGUCGGGACCGGGGUAAACCGCCCAACGAAGGCGACGACUCCGUAGCGUGGUCGUAGGAGAGGAUGACUCGACGCCAAC